CAAAUGAACAGUGUUGUGUACCUGUGUGAAUUGUCACUGUGACUCCAGGCUCUAGGCUCUGCAGAUUCCUCAGCCCUAUCGCCUCACAGACACUUGGGAUGUGCAGCAGGUAAAAGAGAGAAGCCAGAUUCAUGGAGGCGUGAAGGAUCCCAGCAAGAAAACACAGACUUGAUCUUGAGACGAGAUUUUUGAAAUUGGUUGCGGCCUCAAGGCAGGCUCUGAGAAGACUCGAUAAAGAGUUCUCAGGAAUAGGCAUCCCUCCUGGAUAUUUCCCCCUUGGAAGCGCCGAGGAGCCAGCUCUAUGUUUGUAACCAUAGCAUUUCUAAAGCUCCAGCCCCAGGAACCUGCUGUGAAUUAGAGACAGAUUCCACCCUAGGCAUCACUGAUCUUGGCCUCUCUUGUAUUGGGAAGGUCAACACUGUUCCAGUUUCUCUCCUACUCCCAUCUGGUUGUGCUCGGUGAAGUAGUGCUACCCUUCUGUUAAAAAAAAAAAAAAAAAAAAGA
ensembl:lncRNA novel transcript